UACGAAGGGAGCUAGCGUUGUUCGGAAUCACUGGGCGUAAAGCGCACGUAGGCGGAUGUGUCAGUCAGGGGUGAAAUCCUGGAGCUCAACUCCAGAACUGCCUUUGAUACUGGAGAGCUCGAGUCCGGAAGAGGUGAGUGGAACUCCGAGUGUAGAGGUGAAAUUCGUAGAUAUUCGGAAGAACACCAGUGGCGAAGGCGGCUCACUGGUCCGGUACUGACGCUGAUGUGCGAAAGCGUGGGGAGCAAACAGG
rnacentral:rRNA from 1 species